rnacentral:rRNA from 1 species
AACGAACGCUGGCGGCAGGCUUAACACAUGCAAGUCGAGCGCCUCGCAAGAGGAGCGGCAGACGGGUGAGUAACGCGUGGGAACGUACCCUUAUCUUCGGAAUAGCUCUGGGAAACUGGAAGUAAUACCGAAUGUGCCCUUAGGGGGAAAGAUUUAUCGGAUAAGGAUCGGCCCGCGUUGGAUUAGCUAGUUGGUGGGGUAAAGGCCUACCAAGGCGACGAUCCAUAGCUGGUCUGAGAGGAUGAACAGCCACACUGGGACUGAGACACGGCCCGAACUCCUACGGGAGGCGGCAGAGGGGGAUAUUGGACUAUCGCCGGUAGGCUGAACGAGCCAUGCCGCGUGAGUGCUGAAGGUCUUAGGGUUGUAAAGCUCUUUCACCGGAGAAGAUAAUGACGGUACCCGGAGAAGAAGCCCCGGCUAACUUCGUG